rnacentral:lncRNA from 1 species
CGGGUAUAACAGUACUCACCGCAGAAACUGUCAGAAGGAUGGCGUACACAACAGACUGAGUACGGUGCCUGGCACACUCAGAGGUAGUCAAAAAUUAAACUCUGGGCCUUGCCGGGGCCCAUGAAUCAAGGUGGAUGCAUAUCCACGAAACCAACCAUCCUCCUCUUGGGAAAGGCAACCGAGGCAGCUGCUUAAAAGAGAACAGGCCCUAGGGAGCCUCAUAAGGAAAGACUUCACCCACUUUCAAGCCCAGGCUUGUGGAAAUCCAAAGCCAUAUCUGCAGUCAAAUCCCAGCUUUAUAACAGAAAAAAAAAACGCACAUCUAUAUGCAUUUAAAAACCCAUUAAUAGCAGUAACCUGUUUGGGAGGAUUAUGGGUGAUUUUUAUUUUCUCCUUUGUACUUGUCUGUUUCUAAUUUUUCUGCAAUGAUCAGGUAUAUCCUUACUUUUAGAAUCAGAAAUAAAUGUUAUUUAAAAAUAGAAU